rnacentral:rRNA from 1 species
UAUAACCUACGGGGGGCAGCAGUAGGGAAUAUUGCUCAAUGGGGGAAACCCUGAAGCAGCAACGCCGCGUGGAGGAUGAAGGUUUUCGGAUUGUAAACUCCUUUUGUUAGAGAAGAUAAUGACGGUAUCUAGCGAAUAAGCACCGGCUAACUACGUGCCAGCAGCCGCGGUAAUACGUAGGGAGCAAGCGUUAUCCGGAUUUACUGGGUGUAAAGGGCGCGUAGGCGGGAUGGCAAGUCAGAUGUGAAAUCCAGGGGCUCAACCCCUGAACUGCAUUUGAAACUGUCGUUCUUGAGUACUGGAGA